rnacentral:rRNA from 1 species
GUGUCAGCAGCCGCGGUAAUACGGAGGGUGCAAGCGUUAAUCGGAAUUACUGGGCGUAAAGCGCGCGUAGGUGGCUUGAUAAGCCGGUUGUGAAAGCCCCGGGCUCAACCUGGGAACGGCAUCCGGAACUGUCAAGCUAGAGUGCAGGAGAGGAAGGUAGAAUUCCCGGUGUAGCGGUGAAAUGCGUAGAGAUCGGGAGGAAUACCAGUGGCGAAGGCGGCCUUCUGGACUGACACUGACACUGAGGUGCGAAAGCGUGGGUAGCAAACAGGAUUAGAUACCCUGGUAGUCCACGCCGUAAACGAUGUCGACCAGCCGUUGGGUGCCUAGCGCACUUUGUGGCGAAGUUAACGCGAUAAGUCGACCGCCUGGGGAGUACGGCCGCAAGGUUAAA